UAAUGGUUCACAGCAUGAUAAAAACAGCUAUAACAUAAAUGAAAUUCAGUUGCCAGUAUAAUCACAGACCAAACAAAACGCUACAAACAAAAUACACAAUAAAUCAAAAGGGGGGGAAUAUAAGGUACAACAACACAAAAGCUAAUGUCUCACAAUAUUAUGAAGAACAAUCGUGUAUGUUUUAUUUGAUACAUUUCUAACCAUUAUUUGUAUAUUUGAUCAAUUAUGUAUAUAUUUUAUUAGUUUAGAAACGUUUGUGUGCAUAGCAGUGACCCUCCAGCUGCUGAAUGAUAUCCGUAUGUUUGUUGAUAUAAGUUUUAUAAUUCACUAAUACCGACACAGUCACUAGAAUAAAACUGCUCUGAGAAUGAAAUGCAGUAAUUAUAAUGCAUUUUUGAUCAAAAGAUUAUAAGUAUUAGUUUAAUUAUUUUAUUCUGCAGCAGACCCGGAAGUUUUCUGGAAGCUGUUUUGUGACGAAGGACAGCAAACACGUGGUUUUGAUAAAGAGAUAAAUUGAGCCUCAGCCUCAUUAGCGGCCUCUCUUCCUUGUUGCGGUGGUGGAGGUCGGUCGUGUGUCGACGGAGAGAUGGAAACCAGCACGUGUUAAGCUUCAUCCACGAGCCGGUCCUGGAUAUACACUGCUCAAAACAUUAAGGUAACACUUAAUCAUCACAGUGUAACACCAGGUCAGUUAAACUUCAGGGAUAUCAAUCUGUCCAUUUAGGAAUUUCAUAAAUGUUAAAAAAUAUGGCAGAUAUUGUAUGAAUUGAAUUAGACUCUACAAUGAAGUAAAGUGGCCACUGAGUGUAAUCUUGUGACAAUGUAUGGACUGUGAAAUUCAUUGCUAAAUAAAGCUGAAAGUGUUAAA